rnacentral:ncRNA from 1 species
CUAGGCUGCACCGGUCGCUGCACAAUCAGCGAUCAGGUUUGGUAGACCUGAGUG